CCGUUCGUGUUACCUGUCAGCCUGUUGUUUCGCGUAAUUUUCAGACAGUUUAUGCACAUUAUAUUUCACCGGGUUACACAAGCUACGUGUUUUAUUGUUAAUUGUUCUCGUUAUCUUUUGUCUCUAAUCUGCGUUAUCUUUUCAAUUAAAUCGUACGAAUUUCGAAUUUAAUUAAAUAAUUUUAUUUUUAACAAAUAAAGACGUUUCCAUUUCAUUCCCUCGCUUCGUGAUUUUCGAUAAUAUUAAUAGAUUUGUUCUUGAAAACAUCGAGCACGUGCAUUUGUUUAUCAAAUUGUGAAGAAUAUAUUUUGAAAGAAUAAAAAUGUCUGUUGCAGUAUCCGGUCAACAGCCGGAUAAUGAUAUUGUUUGCUUUAAAUCGUUUCUAUACAUAGGUGACUAAUAACGAAACAUUUCCGAAUAAUGAUCUCGUUUGAUCAAAAGGGAUGGCUUUCACGUUCACGUUUCACAUGCAAGAUUAAUUAUAAGUUUAAAAUAAAAAAAAAAAAUCUUUCGUAAUCUCCGCGUAAUUGAUCUUUUUUUCUUCCGUUCCAUUGUCCGAAUCCAUCUUUUAUCCAUAUUUAAAAACGAAUAGCUUUUUAUACAAAUCUUAAUCCUUCGUCGUUAAAUUUAUUCAAAAACGGAUAUCACAAAAAAGCAGAUUAUUCGAGAGGAUAGGAAAUGUCCACGCAGCGCUAUGAUUCGCAGCGGAUGAACGCAACGAAGUAUCGAGAAGUAUUCUUUCGAACGAAUAUUCGCGACGUUGAACGCGACGAAACACUGGCGAUGAUAACUGAAGGGGAUAGAAGGGUGAGGCUGAAAACCGGCCAAUAAUUAUUACACGACUCUACGAAGCGGUUAUUGUCCCAAAUUGGGGGUCGCUUUGCGGAUAAUGGGUGUGCUCGAGAGGUCAUGUGAGCCUGACGUUCCAGCAUGUCAACAGCAACUAUGCAUCAUCGGAUGUCUGGCGCACGUAAACGCCUGCUCCCUUCCUACCUUGUUUCUCUAUCCAUCCUUUUCUCUCCGAUUCUCUCUCGCCAAUGGUUAUGCUUUGCCUCGCGUCAUCUAUUUCUCUUUCUAGCUUCCCGUCGCAUAAUUCGAUCAUCAUAAAUCGAAUCCCUCGAUUCGUUCGAUCCCUACGAUAAAAUUCUCGAAAAUCGUUCGAGAGUGAAAAUUACAGUUCGAGUAAAAUGGUGGUCUCGAUGCAUUUCCAAUAUUUGCGAAGGAAAAUCACUUUUGGAAUGCGAAAGUUUCGAUAUCUACGAUAAAAUAAAUAAAAAAGUUUGGAAGAAAAGUUUUUUCGUACCUAGAUUUUUUGAAACGAACAAUUUCUGGUGAAGAAUGGAAGAACUUGAAUUUGAACGAAACACGUCAUUUGCCAGAGGUACAAUGUCAAUGUAAUCUGUUCAUUCGUUCCAUAUUGAACUCGUUCGUAUCCUUACGGAAGUGGCGACACAGACUUAGAGAGGGCCGGGUAUGUGUGUAACGUUCCAACACAUGUAGAGAGGGCGCGCGGCAAGUGCAGGAUCGAGCUAGCUGCAUAUCUCCAGCCUAGGAAUUGGAGUGGAUGGCGAACGUGGGUACAAUAGUUCGCAUUGUAUUGGAUCUCUCCGAGUGAUAGGCACCCUCCCCGCCCUCUAUCCGUUCCUGUCUGUCUCUCUUUCUCCCGAUUCCCUGCUGCCUCCUUCCUACGCUUCGUUGCCUACCGUCGUAUCUCAUUUUACGAAGGCCUCGAGCGCGCGUUAUUAUGCGCGUUAUGCCGCUGCCUCACCAUUCUAUAUCGCCAUUGCGGCCAACUGCAUCGCAUCUGCCCGUUUUCUGCUCUUCCACUUCUAUCGCAACGCCAUCUCACCUACCGACCAAUCGAUCUUUCCACCUUUCGAUUACCUAUUCCCUAUAUACCAAACUUCAACCAAUUAUACUCAUUGUACAUUUUCUUCUUGACCAAUGAAGCGGUCGAUAAAUUUGAAAUGAUCGCGCUUACUUCGUGGCGGUGGAGACACGUUGUUUCUACUAUACUUCGGUCUAGAUAAAAUAGAAAAGAAAUAGCGAAUAAACAAAGAGAUACGAUCGAAAUUGAUAGACGAUAAGUCAUUACUUUGAUUAAAAUAAAAUAAAUCUUUAUAAUAUCUUUAUAAUGAGAAAAAAGAAGAGAAGAAUAGAUUUGUUAUCUACAGACAGAAUCAAGUGUGCUAAAAAUAGGUUAGAAUCUCGUAUCGAGUGAGAAGUUUCGAAUCGUGAAUAGAAUUUUGAACGAGAUAGAUUCUAAUUAUACCCCCACAUGGAUCAUCGCUUGGGAAUUAGAAAGGCUGUUCCGACAUAACGGCACGGAGAUAAAAUUCUAUCGGUAGAAAGUGCCGUGAAAAAUGAAAUUAUCCGGAAACCAUGCUGGCUGGCAAGUGGAAAGGGAGUUAAGCGGCCUUCGUCCGGCAAAUAAUUGAUGCACGUCAAUUAGAUUUGUCAGGGUGAUCGUCACAAUGAAAUUAACAGGAACGCCAGCCAUAGACGUACACACCACACGUACAUCAGGUUACGUUAUAUAUCCAGCAGUAAACUUGUUUCACCUACAAGGUGUAUUGCGAAUCGGCUGACAUUGGAUUCGAUUGUCAGGCAAGUUGCUGAACCGCUUUAAAUCCAAUCAGAUUUACUUAUAUUCCCAUGAUUCCUGCAACGAAAUUAAUUUCACGUUUUUGUUUCACAGGGACGGUUUCGCCUUUCGUGUUAUUCGUGUUUAGAAAUUUUGCCCGGCUCGUUACGGAAGGAUAAUUGUGAUAAUUUUUUUUAACGGAUGAUGUUUGGAAAUUUCAAUAUUCGUCUUUAGUCGAUAAGCGAAGACUUAUGGGACACACUGUGUAGACGAUACACCGCAUAGUCGUGUAGCAGUCUCGCGUAGGUGGUGUGAAAUUUAAAUUUUUCCAAUACCGGAUACCGCUAAUUCCGUUGAUCCAGUAAAACUGCUAGAAAUUCCUAUCGCACUUUCUCGUUAACGAAGAUAACGCGAUCGUUCUGACUAUUCCGCUAAAAAGAACGGCCAAUUAUCGGUCUACUUAUCGACCAUAUAUCCUUUCUUCUUUUUACACCCUAAUCUCUUUCCUUUGCCCACAGAGGGCAAAAUUUCAAGAUUUUGUCGUGCAAAGAGGAGAAGAGAAUCGAAAGUUUCUCAUUUGAAUCGAUUAUUAUACGAAUUCUUUCGCUAUUUUAUUCGAACGAAUGCUUCGCUUAUCCAUUACCAACAGUUGGUAACUGCGCACCAAUAUGCGCACAAAAUUCUUUCUCGACAAUUCUAUUAGGAGAAGGGAGUAUAGAUUUUAUUCGAUGCGAUUAUGCGUA
rnacentral:lncRNA from 1 species